rnacentral:lncRNA from 1 species
CCUGAAAUAUGAAAACACACAAAAUUUGAGAUUUGAAAAUUUGAAUUUCAAGACUGAAAUCUGAAAGUAGACAGUUCAUUCUAGAUCAUCGGUAUUCUGAAAAAUAAAAAAAAUAGCAGAAAAUCCCAUAAACGUACUGCUCUAUUAGAUUUUUAUAAGUUCUUCAUCUUCAAUUCAAUUUCUGAGCAUUCUAGUGUGUAAAAAUGAGUUGGAUGUGGGUUUGAAAUCAAAUUUGGGGGUCAAUUUUCCUGUUGAUAGUCAACUGGUCUUCGAAACAAGUUCUAUUCUAUUCUUUUGCUGUUGUGACCUGCCGUUUGACACUGCCAUUUACUCAAUCUGUUGCUGACUCCUCUUUCUUCUUAUUGUAUUUCAAUUUCCAGGUACAUAUCUCCAAUUCUCCUCAAUGUAGCUCUUGAAUUUGAAUUGAAAUAAACAUCAUAACGAAUUGGCUUCAUGUUGUGUGCUUGAUUGAAUCAUUGUAUAUCAAUAGUUGAAUAGAUGUUAAAUGAUAUGCAUUAUUUAAUGAAGUUUGGUUUGGAUUUGUAUUCACAGGAAUGUUGGACUGUACUGGACUGUAUAAUUGUAGAUUAUGUUAGUUCACAAGUUAGCAUUUGAUGUUUGACUGCUGAUGAUUGUAUAAAUGGGC